GGAAUAGACUCUGCAUUUUUUUGCAGUUAAUUUGUUCUGAUCCAAUCAGUGGACUUCAUUUCAGGAACUCAGGAAGCUUCUGGAAGUGGGAGUAUUUGCCCCAUUGUUGGUGAACGGAAGGGACUGGAUCAAGUUCCCACAGAGAGGAAGCAGCAGAGUCACGAUUCAGCCCAUCUGUCCGACCCACGCUGCUCCCUGACUCAGAUUUGGGGCCGCCCUCCUUGAAGUUCCAAGAUGCACGGACCCCAGGACCCUUUCCAAUUCCCUCCCUGUCACUAGGAGGGUGGCCGCCACAAAGGAAGGAUGAACGAGAAGUGGGAACAGGUGAGGAUGAGCCAGGGAAGUUACAAGGACAGACCUGCCGAAGUGACCUUCAGGAGAAGGCGGUGUCACUCAUCACAGAACAGGCACUUGCCCAGGAUUCGGAGAAGCUGAAAGCAGAUGCACAGGAGCUAGAGGCUGCAGGCUCGCUGUUGCCCCACACCAGCCAGGGCACCGUCUCGAAGUCGUUUCUGAUUAGAAGUUGACCUCAGAAAUAUGCUCGCAUCAUUUUGAAAACAUCUCCCAGCACCACAGAAACCGACGCAGAAUGGGAAAGGACACUGAGGGGACCAAGGCCAGGACCCGGGCCUUCCCACAAGGCUCUCAGGGUAUCGCUGGCCUGGAUCAAAGUUGGGAUGCGAUCACCGUCAUGACGCCGGAUACACUCAUGGACCUGGGCCAGCUGGGAGUGACAGGGAUGACUGUCACCAUCGUGGUUGUCAGCUAAUGUUACUGAGUCCUUACUACAGACCCUGCGGUUCUAAAGAGUCAUCCGUUCUUGCAGCAUCCUCUCAGGCAGGGACCAUUGGAGUUUGAGGUCCGAGUGGUGUUGUCAGGUACCAGUCUGGAGAGGGCAGGUCAGUGUGUAAGAUCAAUGCCCUCGGGUGGGACUACCUAGUGGGUAAAGUCAGUGGUCUCAUUAGGAACACAAACCCCCAGCUAAGCCUGCUCAGCCCUGAGGCAGAAGCUGUGAACCCAGCGAGGUGGGAGAGGGUGGCCAGAGGCAGUGAGCAGGGUAUGAGCAGGGUCCAAGGUCAGCGUUGGCAGGAAAGGGGAGCGGCUGGUGUGCAGUUGGCUGCUCAGGGGCCGAGGUCGACCCAAAGUUGUGGUUGACCAAGGACAUGGCUCUCCUUAUCGAUGCCAGAUGAUGUGCAGAAACAGGUGGGCCAUGAAGUGUUCAUUUCCCCAGGAGUCCAAAAGGUAGGUUUAAACUAGAGUGUGAAGGUCUGAUAGUAGCAAUGACGACGGAUACAGCAGGAGAGCCAUGGCCUCUUGCAUCUCUGCCUGGAGGAGAGGCCAGUGCCUAGAAAAGCAUGGAGGGCUGAGCUGGCCAUCCCUCCUGGGGGAGCAGCAACUCGGAUGGCACCCCUGAGUCUUGUGAGCGCUUCUGUGGGGUGUUUAAUUAUUGAUAAACA